rnacentral:rRNA from 1 species
AUUGAACGCUGGCGGCAGGCCUAACACAUGCAAGUCGAACGAGUGGCGGACGGGUGAGUAAUGUAUGGGAAACUGCCUGAUGGAGGGGGAUACCUACUGGAAACGGUAGCUAAUACCGCAUACCAUCAGAUGUGCCCAGAUGGGAUUAGCUAGUUGGUGGGGUAACGUCUCACCAAGGCGACGAUCCCUCGCUGGACUGAGAGGAUGACCAGCCACGCUGAAACUGAGACACGGUCCAGACGCCUACGGGAGGCAGCAGUGGGGAGUAUUGCACAAUGGGCGCAAGCCUGAGGCAGCCAUGCCGCGUGUAUGAAGAAGGCCUUCGGGUUGUAAAGGACUUUCAGCGGGGAGGCGUUACCCGCAGAAGAAGCCCCGGCUAACUCCGUGCCAGCAGCCGCGGUAAUUC